rnacentral:tmRNA from 1 species
GGGGGUGAUUUGGCUUCGACAGGAACGGAUUUAUCACGGUGGCAUGCCGCUUUGGAUAUAGCGUAUAAAAUCCAAAUUAAAAUUAAACGCAAAUAACAAAAAUUUUGCUCCUGCUUACGCAAAAAUCGCGUAAGUUCAGUUGAGCCCUGCUGCUUGCUGAUGCUAUUUAGGCUGGCGUGCGGGUAACUUUAAAUAGCUAGUUUCGUGUUUUGACGAGAUACGGAGCGAAAUUUAGUCUUUGCUUUGGCGAGUUGUUUUGGAAAGUGAGCAAGCUAGGGCGAGAUUUUCACUUUUGCUAAGCAUGUAGAGGCCUUGGUAGUUCGCUUUUGGACUGCGGUUCGAUCCCGCACACCUCCACCA